rnacentral:rRNA from 1 species
UACAGAGGUCCCAAGCGUUGUUCGGAUUCAUUGGGCGUAAAGGGUGCGUAGGCGGCGCGGUAAGUCGGGUGUGAAAUCUCGGAGCUUAACUCCGAAACUGCAUUCGAUACUGCGGUGCUUGAGGACUGGAGAGGAGACUGGAAUUCAUGGUGUAGCAGUGAAAUGCGUAGAGAUCAUGAGGAAGACCAGUGGCGAAGGCGGGUCUCUGGACAGUUCCU